ACUCUUUCAAUUCUUAACCUCCCCGCCUAUAUUCCAGGGUGCCGGAUUCGUCCGGCUAUGGCGAUAAAUGGACGUCGUAAUAAGCCGUUCGGACCCGGGGGCAGUACCCGGCGCCUCCACCAUCAGCCCAUUCGGCGUUUGGGGCAAUCGGCCCUGAAAGUCCAGUGGGUUGCUGAUGGGGGCGAACUAGGAUCGACGAGGGUGUAAAGGGCGCGCUUUUGCUCGGCAUGAUACCGCCGUCAUCGGGUCAUUCAGAAUAGUUGCCAAUGACAACUAUGCUGAGGCUGCUCUCGCUGCGUAAUGCGGCGCGAAAUGCCUAAACGGAACUCCUUACCCCUAGCCGGGUAAGGCGCGGUUCGGGAGGCACCGGGCAACAGAAGCCUCCCACU
rnacentral:tmRNA from 1 species